rnacentral:rRNA from 1 species
UACGAAGGGUGCAAGCGUUAAUCGGAAUUACUGGGCGUAAAGCGCGCGUAGGUGGUUCAGUAAGUUGGAAGUGAAAUCCCCCGGGCUCAACCUGGGAACUGCUUUCAAAACUGCUGAGCUAGAGUACGGUAGAGGGUGGUGGAAUUUCCUGUGUAGCGGUGAAAUGCGUAGAUAUAGGAAGGAACACCAGUGGCGAAGGCGACCACCUGGACUGAUACUGACACUGAGGUGCGAAAGCGUGGGGAGCAAACAGGAUUAGAUACCCCCGUAGU